AGAGUUGGCUCAGGAUGAACGCUAGCGGCAGGCUUAACACAUGCAAGUCGAGGGGUAACGCGGUGUAGCAAUACACUGGCGACGACCGGCGCACGGGUGCGUAACGCGUAUGCAACCUGCCUCGCGACAGGGGGAUAACGGAGUGAAAAUUCCACUAAUAUCCCAUGGUGUCGGAGAAUCGCAUGGUUUUCCGACUAAAGCUUUGGUGGUGCGAGAUGGGCAUGCGUGACAUUAGCUAGUUGGCGGGGCAACGGCCCACCCAAGGCGACGAUGUCUAGGGGAGCUGAGAGGCUUAUCCCCCACACUGGUACUGAGACACGGACCAGACUCCUACGGGAGGCAGCAGUGAGGAAUAUUGGACAAUGGGGGAAACCCUGAACUCCAGCCAUGCCGCGUGAAUGAAGAAGGCCUUCGGGUUAGUAAAGUUCUUUUAGUAGUGAGGAUGAUGACAGUAGCUACAAGAAAACGCACCGGCUAACUUCGUGCCAGCCGCCGC
rnacentral:rRNA from 1 species